rnacentral:rRNA from 1 species
GGCUAAUACCGGAUAACAUUUUGAACUGCAUGGUUCGAAAUUGAAAGGCGGCUUCGGCUGUCACUUAUGGAUGGACCCGCGUCGCAUUAGCUAGUUGGUGAGGUAACGGCUCACCAAGGCAACGAUGCGUAGCCGACCUGAGAGGGUGAUCGGCCACACUGGGACUGAGACACGGCCCAGACUCCUACGGGAGGCAGCAGUAGGGAAUCUUCCGCAAUGGACGAAAGUCUGACGGAGCAACGCCGCGUGAGUGAUGAAGGCUUUCGGGUCGUAAAACUCUGUUGUUAGGGAAGAACAAGUGCUAUUUGAAUAAGCUGGCACCUUGACGGUACCUAACCAGAAAGCCACGGCUAACUACAUGCCAGCAGCCGCGGUAAUACGUAGGUGGCAAGCGUUAUCCGGAAUUAUUGGGCGUAAAGCGCGCGCAGGUGGUUUCUUAAUUCUGAUGUGAAAGCCCACGGCUCCACCGUGGAGGGUCAUUGAAAACUGGGAGACUUGAGUGCACAAUAUGAAUUUUGAAUUCCAUGUGUCUUUUUGAAUUGCGUAAAGAUAUGGACGAACACUUGUGUCGAAGGCGACUUUCUGGUCUGUAACUGACACUAACUCGCGAAAUUUUGUGCAGCAAAACGAUCCAUACUCUGGGAAUUUCCGCCGGCACUAUGAUUGCUACCUGUGAAAGGGUAUUGGCCAUUUAUACGCGCUAUCUUAUCGCAUAACCCGCUCCACCUGGGG